GGAAUCCAGUCCAUGAGCCACGGUGAGACCUGUUCUGGGUAGAUGUUGAACUUGUUGGUGGCAUCCAUGGAGUACUCUUCUGUUUUGUAACGGUUUUUUGAGCUUUCAUUCGCAGUUAUCAUCUCACGAGAGCACCGAAGAGCUGAGUAGAACAAAGCCUGUGUCCAAGGAACCAUCAUCACAUGUAAGGUAACACAAAACGGAUCUCAAAUCAACAGACCAAUCCACAAGAUAUGUUCUCAUGUGAAGGAUAGCUUUUUAAUCCAAAUGUCACUACCCUGAAUUAAACUGGAAUUCGCUUAUGGGAAACAACGAAGGGAAAGUUACUUGGAUCUCAAGAGGGUGGCCAUGGAUACCCAUGCGGCGAUCUAUCAUGCAGGAGCCAUCAGUGACUAACAGAGUCGGGAACAUAUCAAAACCAUCGGCUAAACACAGGAAAAUGCAAGACAAGAAGAAGCAAGCGAUACAGACCAGAAUCAACGGGAGCGACCCGACCUAUAGCAGAUUCACCAAAAUCUGGAUCCAGAACCUCUUCACAUUUGUCAUUUUCGAGAAGUACGCUUCUGACUUUGAAACUCGCAGGCAUUAAUCCCUGGCCUGGGCUGUAACAAUCAACCGUUUUCUCCCAACUCUGAUCAAACAAGCGUGUUCGUACCUGCAACUGCAAUGUGUGAAGGAGGAAGUUUCUCACAAUCUCGGGCUCCCCCUUAAGCAAGAAAGCUAGAGCGGAAGGCACAAAGUCCCGUAU